AGAGCGAACGCUGGCGGCAGGCCUAAUACAUGCAAGUCGAACGCACCUUCGGGUGAGUGGCGGACGGGUGAGUAACACGUGGGAACGUGCCCUUUGGUUCGGAAUAAUCCGGGGAAACCUGGCCUAAUACCGGAUGUGCCCUUCGGGGGAAAGAUUUAUCGCCAUUGGAGCGGCCCGCGUCUGAUUAGCUUGUUGGUGGGGUAAUGGCCCACCAAGGCUACGAUCAGUAGCUGGUCUGAGAGGAUGAUCAGCCACACUGGGACUGAGACACGGCCCAGACUCCUACGGGAGGCAGCAGUAGGGAAUCUUGCGCAAUGGGCGAAAGCCUGACGCAGCCAUGCCGCGUGAAUGAUGAAGGUCUUAGGAUUGUAAAAUUCUUUCAGCGGGGAAGAUAAUGACUGUACCCGCAGAAGAAGCUCCGGCUAACUUCGUGCCAGCAGCCGC
rnacentral:rRNA from 1 species